rnacentral:rRNA from 1 species
AGGACGAACGCUGGCGGCGUGCCUAACACAUGCAAGUCGAACGGGACCAGGGGCAACUCUGGUUCAGUGGCGGACGGGUGCGUAACACGUGAGGAACAUGACCUUCGGCGGGGGAUAGCCGGCCCAACGGCCGGGUAAUACCGCGUACGACCACUCGGGGACAUCCCUAGGUGGUGAAAGCAGCAAUGCGCCGAUGGAGUGCCUCGCGGCCUAUCAGCUAGUGGUGAGUACGCUCACAAGGCGACGACGGGUA